rnacentral:rRNA from 1 species
UGGAACCGGGAGAGGUAAGAGGUACUACAGGGGUAGGACGUGAAAGUCUUGUAAUCCCUGUGGGACCACCUGUGGCGAAGGCGUCUUACCAGAACGGGUUCGACGGUGAGGGACGAAGCUGGGGGCACGAACCGGAUUAGAUACCCGGGUAGUCCCAGCCGUAAACGAUGCUCGCUAGGUGUCAGGCAUGGCGCGACCGUGUCUGGUGCCGCAGGGAAGCCGUGAAGCGAGCCACCUGGGAAGUACGGCCGCAAGGCUGAAACUUAAAGGAAUUGGCGGGGGAGCACAACAACGGGUGGAAGCCUGCGGUUUAAUUGGACUCAACGCCGGACAACUCACCGGGGGCGACAGCAAUAUGUAGGCCAAGCUGAAGACUUUGCCUGAAUCGCUGAGGAGAGGUGCAUGG